AGCGGGAUGGAGCCAAGCUGGACGGAGGCGGGGCUAAGGCGAGGAUCCUUCGGGAGCUCUGAGGCGGGGCCCUACCCGGGGUGUGGCGGGACUGGAAACGAGCACUCUCUCCCCGGAUACUACCAGAAGCGGAGCCCGAGAGACAGGAAACGAGAGGGGCAGAAGACUGAGACUUGGGACGAAACCAAGAGUUGGAUGCUUAACCGACUGAGCCACCCAGAUAUUUCCCUCCUCACUCAUCUAGAUGCUGCUAGAUGGUUCUUCUGGAAGUCAAAGUCUAACAAAAACAGAACAUCUGAUAUAUUUAUGCCUUGCCUUAUGGGACAGAUUCAUCAGUAGAACUGUCAAGGAAGCAAUGAGGGAAAUAGCUAUAUUGAACUUAAUUUUAACCAGCAAAUAUCUAGUUGAUGAUUUACAAGUGACAAAAAUCCUGGGAAAAAGGAGUGAUGUCUGCUGGAGUUAGUAGCUGGCCGGGCACAGUGCUGGACUCUGGAUGAAGAGUGAUGCAUGCAGGCACAGCCCUUCCUUCACAGUGCUCGUCUGUCAUUACUAGGAACAAACACAAAACUGUACAAAUCUGAAUGAAGCAGUGGUGUCGACUCAUGUCCAGGUGACUUUUUUAUUUUUAUUUUUUAUUUUUUUAAUUUUUUACUUUAGAAAGGAAGAGAGAGUGUGUGAGCAGGGGAGAGGAGCAGAGGGAG